rnacentral:rRNA from 1 species
UACCUGCAGCUCUAGUGGUGGCCGCUAUUAUUGGGCCUAAAACGUCCGUAGUCGGUUUAAUAAAUGCCUGGGUAAAUCGUGUAGCUUAACUAUACGAAUUCCGGGUAGACUGUUAAGCUUGAGAUCGGGAGAAGUUAGAGGUACUCCUGGGGUAGAGGUGAAACUCUGUAAUCCUAGGGGGACCACCAGUGGCGAAGGCGUCUGACUAGAACGGGUCUGACGGUGAGGGACGAAGCCCUGGGGCGCAAACCGGAUUAGAUACCCGGGUAGUCCAGGGUGUAAACGCUGCUUGCUUGAUGUUAGUCGGGCUCCGAGCCCGAUUAGUGUCGGAGAGAAGUAGUUAAGCAAGCUGCCUGGGAAGUACGGUCGCAAGUCUGAAACUUAAAGGAAUUGGCGGGGAGCACAGCAACGGGUGGAGCGUGCGGUUU